UUUAUUUAACCAGGUUAGGCCAGUUGAGAACAAGUCCUUUAUUUAACCAGGUUAGGCCAGUUGAGAACAAGUCCUUUAUUUAACCAGGUUAGGCUAGUUGAGAACAAGUCCUUUAUUUAACCAGGUUAGGCUAGUUGAGAACAAGUCCUUUAUUUAACCAGGUAGGCUAGUUGAGAACAAGUCCUUUAUUUAACCAGGUUAGGCUAGUUGAGAACAAGUCCUUUAUUUAACCAGGUUAGGCUAGUUGAGAACAAGUCCUUUAUUUAACCAGGUUAGGCUAGUUGAGAACAAGUCCUUUAUUUAACCAGGUAGGCUAGUUGAGAACAAGUUCUCAUUUACAAUUGCGACCUGGUCAAGAUAAAGCAAAGCAGUUCGACAACAUACAACAACACAGAGUUACACAUGGAGUAAAACAAAC
rnacentral:lncRNA from 1 species